rnacentral:rRNA from 18 species
UCGGCAACGGAUAUCUCGGCUCUCGCAUCGAUGAAGAACGUAGCGAAAUGCGAUACUUGGUGUGAAUUGCAGAAUCCCGUGAACCAUCGAGUCUUUGAACGCAAGUUGCGCCCUAAGCCUUCUGGCCGAGGGCACGUCUGCCUGGGUGUCACAAAUCGUCGUCCC